UAAAGUUCAAGAGGAGUGGGAAGCUGCUGCAGACUUGAUGGAAAGGAAGGAAUCAUUAGAAGAUAAAGGUCACGAGGAGUGGGAAGCUGCUGCAGACAUAAUAGAAAGGAAAGAAUCAUCACAAGAUAAAGGUCAAGAGGAGAAGGAAGUUGCUGCAGACAUUAUGGAAGGAAAGGAAUUAUCGCAAGACAAACAAUAAUGACAGUGUGAAGAGUCACCUGCACCAGUUCCCUUUCCUCUUUCUUUGUAUUGGUGACGAUAAUUUGAGUGUGAAGCUUGCAAACAUUUGUCUCCCAAAAACCCCCCACUUUUUCUCAUGUUUCCUGAAACUGUAAUGCUUAUGUUGUUCCAUUUAAUAAUUAUGCAAUGAUUAUUAAUUUUCAGCACAGAAAAUCACUGAAACAGGGUUGGAAACAAGAGAAAGUUAUAUACCUGUGAUGAGAAAAGAAAAGACAAAGCCACUGUCGAAAAAUCAGAGCUUAGCCACGGUAACCCACAUGAUCAAGACGAGUUAUCGUUACAGUGUUCAUGACUUCUUCAACGAUGUCCUUAUCUGUCAAAUGAAAAUCAAACUCAGGGUCCUAACAUGCCACAUUAAUAUAUGUACAGCCUAGUAAGUUUAUGUUCUGAUAAACAAAAAAGAGCCUAAGGUUUCUUGUUUGGCAGUUGUUGUUACUAUAGGUUGAAAAAAUCUGGUAUAUAUACCUCAUGCAUCAAUCUUGAUACAAUAAAGACAUCAAAAGUGUAAGUUCAUGUGCUGCUAAAGACUAUUUAACGAAUAACAAUAAACAAGUAUGAGACAAUUCAGCUUAUUAUAACAUAUAAAUGGUGUUUCCCAAACGGACCACAUAUGCUUAGCUCUACUUACGUAACACAAACACACACACACGCAGAGAAUGGUUAUGCAGCCACAUAGAGCUACUUCUUACCUCUCUCUCAUGGACAAUUCCAAAAGCCCUGUCCAACCUAACCAGCUUUAUCAUCAUAAUGUGUAGUGUAUGCCAACAAAACAAGAAGCAGACUUUGGAUUAAUAAACAAAACAACAACAGCCCGGAAGCAAAAUCACCUGCUGCAAGGGAAAAGCGUAUGAAUCUUUAUGAUCUGCCAACCGCUAUUAUAGUAAAAAAAAACACUACAUAAGUUCACUAUAACUCAAGAAGCUCACUUGCAUAAUGAAUUUACCAAUUAACUCAGUUUCUUCUGCAGAAUCAUUAGCUGUCCAAAACUCAGCAGCUUUUAUCACCAUAACGUGUACACCAAAAAAAAGACUCAAACACUAGACUUAGCUUAAUUUCUUCUGCAGACUCAAUUAAAUACCCACUUUCAUUACCACUAAAUUAACUUAAUUUCUUCUGCAGACUCAUUAUUUACAUAUAAAAGACUCGAUUUUUAUCCCGAAAAAUUGAAACUUUAAACGACACCCACCAAUCUAUUCAACCUGAAAUUUUCAAACAAUUACCGCAAAAAAUCAAGAUAACCCAUUAAAUAAGUACCUUUAUCACGACAAAGGUAACUCCUUGAAUCAACAAACACAGAAGCAGGUGCCUGAGGGAUGAGCACAUUGCUCGGAGAAUUUACACUGAUUUCUCCGAUGGUUUCGCCUACAGCUAUCGAAACAAGAAAAAGAAGAACACGAAGCUAAUCCGGUUCCGGAUAAAAUCUGAACCGGAUAUAACCGAGUAAAUUUUG
rnacentral:lncRNA from 1 species